rnacentral:rRNA from 1 species
UGUUACUGACGCUAAAGCUCGAAAGUGCGGGUAUCGAACAGGAUUAGAUACCCUGGUAGUCCGCACGGUAAACGAUGGAUGCCCGCUGUUUGCCCUUCGGGGUGAGUGGCUAAGCGAAAGCGUUAAGCAUCCCACCUGGGGAGUACGCCGGCAACGGUGAAACUCAAAGGAAUUGACGGGGGCCCGCACAAGCGGAGGAACAUGUGGUUUAAUUCGAUGAUACGCGAGGAACCUUACCCGGGCUUGAAUUGCAGAUGACGGAUCUAGAGAUAGAGACUUCCUUCGGGACAUCUGUGAAGGUGCUGCAUGGUUGUCGUCAGCUCGUGCCGUGAGGUGUCGGCUUAAGUGCCAUAACGAGCGCAACCCUUCUCUUCAGUUGCCAUCAGGUAGAGCUGGGCACUCUGGAGACACUGCCACCGUAAGGUGUGAGGAAGGUGGGGAUGACGUCAAAUCAGCACGGCCCUUACGUCCGGGGCUACACACGUGUUACAAUGGCCGGUACAGAAAGUCGGAUGCCCGUAAGGUCAUUCUAAUCAAGAAAGCCGGUCCCAGUUCGGACUGAGGUCUGCAACCCGACCUCACGAAGCUGGAUUCGCUAGU